rnacentral:lncRNA from 9 species
UUUUUUUUUUUUUUUUUUGCUUUUUUUGGCUAUUGAGUUGUAUAAUUCUCUUACAUAUUUUGGAUAUUACCCCUUAUAAGAUAUAAUUUGUAAAUAUUUUCUCUCUUCAGUAGGUUGCCUUUUCAUUUUGUUGAUUUCUGGUGUUGUGCAGAGGGUAGCAUUUUUAAGAGAAAAAUUGAGAACAAUUGACAGUUUAACUGGGACACAGGACACUGUUCAAGACAGUACAGAGAAGCUAGUGAUUCCAUGAGUGUUUUGUCUUUCCUUUUUAAUAUAGAAUGAAGAAAAGGGUUUAGAGGGUACCGAAUUCUACUAAAUUGAAAGCAAAUCUCUGUGGAUUUGUGUGUAUACAUGUAUGCAUGUAUGUCCAUUUUUAUUCAUCUCUCAAAAUGUUCAUGAUCCUAAAAGGUUAAGAACUACUGAAUUUUCUUCCCUUGUCCACUGUCACUGCUUUUAUCACAUUAUUCAUGUUGGACCCAGUUUUUUUGGUGAUCCCCAUUUUUGAUGCAUUUAUUAUAUAUUCAGGAUUUCAUGUGCUGCUUUGUUCUCUAAUCCCAAGAAGGUCAUUCCUUCACUGCCAGACAUUUAAGUAGCACUUGUAUUGAAACAUAUACUUUUCUAUACACUGGGGUAUUAAGGUGAAAAGAUUUAAUUAAGUUACUGCAAAACUUCCUAGUUAGUGAGAAUGUAAACAAACAAACAAAAAUUGUUUCUUGUAAUUCUCUGAUGUUCCACGUGCUUUUUAUCAGAGUAAUAAAACCACUGGGAGAAGAUAUGGUCUCAGUUUGGACUCUCAGAAUGAAGAGUACAGCUGUCCCAUGUUCUUUAUAGUCUUUAUGGAUCUUUAUAUGUGCACUAUUCAGUUGCUGUUCUCUGUGUCCUGGCUUGAACUGACCAUGGCAGUUACCAUAGAGAAGGAUUCCCACAUUUAGUUAUGACAUUUUUCCAUAAGUUUGUUCUGCUAUUGGCCUGUUCUAAGCAUAUUCAGUGGACUAGGAAAGGGGGGAUGGUAUUUAUAUUGUUUCUGGAUUUUCUUAGAGAAAAUCUUCAGGUCCCCUACAACCUGCCAUCUCACGACUGCCAUUUCCAGAAUUAGAGGAAUAUUUUACCGUGGUCACUUCAGUUUCCUAAUUUUAAUCACUCAUCCAAAGGGACGACUCCCCAAAUUUCAGCAAUACUGUCACCAAAUAUAGUCCAAAUAUCUGGGCUAUAAUUUAAAGAUAACUUUUUCUGAUCUAAAAACAGAUGCUAGCCUUCCACCCUUGAUUUUUGAUUACACAUUUAAUUCACAAAACGAUCCUGUGAUUUAAGGAAGAUAUGCAUUUAUAGUAAAUAAAGACACAGAAUUUUACCAAAAGCCUCCUGUGUUUUAUGUACUACGCCAAGUUCUUAUACCAAGGUGUCUUCAUUUGAAACCAAUAACAUGCCAAUUUGGGGCUGCCCAGUCAUGCUCAUUGCCCAUGCCUCUGCACCUUUACCGUUACUGUGGUAUAUCUGACUAGUGGAGAGAAAUGUCUGGUUUGUCUUCUCAGAUAUAUAUAUAUAUCUGUCUUUUUCCAGGGCUGCACCCGCGGCAUAUGGAGAAAUAGCAAAAAGACAAAAAAAAAAAAAAAAAAAAAAAAAAUUCUUUCAAUGGCAACAUUACCCAGAAUCAUAAACAACAGAACCCUACAGCACUUCUCUGGUUGAUACAAUGAUGAGGUACUCCAAGGGCCUUACUUUUUAUUCCCUCUCCAAUCUUGGCUUUGACUUUUAAACCAGAAUAACUCUUCCACUCUUAAUCACCAUAAGCACAUGCUCCUAGUGAAUGAUUACUGUCUUUUUUAAGUUGGUACCUGAGCUUUAGUUCCACUUUUUCAACUGGAUAUUUUUUUCUGCCUUUAUUAACUAUUGCCCCUGAAACAGGCCAUGUCCUAAAGCAACUUUAUAAUAUUUUGGUAAAUGGAUCCUCAUAUGUCUUCCCUAUUUUUCUCUCUUCUUAAUAACUUAUUGAUAUCCAUCUAUCAGUAAUAAUCUUAUCCAUAUAUCCAUCUAUCAGUAAUAAUCAGACCCACAUUGAUGUCUUCCUUGAGCAUUUCCAUCAAUAUAAUACUUUCCAUGCUCUCAACAGUAGCAAAACUAGUUUUGGAACUGUAUAUGGCCAUCAAAUCAUAUCAUGUCUUGAUGUGCAAUUAAGUAUUGUGUGAUUACCAAAAUAAUGUAUCUAAAUGUGCAGCUAUCUGAAUUAGAAUGCAUACAAAAAAUGUUAGCUGUCAUCAUUAUUAUGCAUAUGUUUUGAAACCUAGACAGUAAAGUCCUCGUUAAUAGAAAAAUAUAUCCAGUAACUUUAGUGUACACCAGUGGUGCCUGACAGUGUUUUAUAUGCAUAUCAUUUACUAUUUACCAUACAAUCAUUUACUAUUUACUGUACAGAACAUAUGGAUUAGAUAUGAUACUUUGUUCUACACAUAUCAGUAAUCAGUAAACUUCAGAUAUUUUAAUUACAAUUUAUUUUAAUGCAACUAGGAACAAUAAAGUAUAAUCCUCUGCAGAUCAAAGAGGAAUGUAGGAGAAAUCAAGACCUGGAUUUCUCAACAUCAAUGCCUGUUGUUUAUUUGAUGUUUCAUUCCCAUGAAAACAAGAUUUAAAAGAAAAUGUAAGACCUCAUUGUCAAAUCAAACAUACUUCCUUGAAACAAAGAGCUAGAACACAAUGAUACAUGUUGCGGCUCCUCCUGCAAGCCAACUGCUCCAAGCAGCCUUCUCUGUCCCCUUUGGCAGAUGGUACUCAUUAUGAUUGCUCUCAAAUGAGAGAAUGGUUUGAAGCAGGCUUGUAUUUACAAUUACAGCUCUCACAUAAGGAGGUUUACUAGGGUUCUAAAGCUAAUUAGCUCUGUCCACAUUUCAAUAUUUUUUGUCCCUCUAGUCCACAGCCAUUUAGGCAUUAAUGAAGAGAAGACAGCUUAGGAAAAGGCAGAGAAAAACUGAGGAUGUAGAUAAGACUCUUAAAGUGUGCUAUUCUUUUUUAAAAUAUUAGGUUAAAAGAAUAAUCUUAAAAGCAUUGCUAUGGUUACCAAAAAUUCACGGGAUGUAAGACAAUUCAAGAUAAAGGGAGACCAGAACAUUUCUACAUAAGAAAUAAAGAUGUAAA